rnacentral:rRNA from 1 species
AGGCAGCAGUGGGGAAUUUUCCGCAAUGGGCGAAAGCCUGACGGAAGCAAUGCCGCGUGAGUGAUGAAGGCCUUUGGGUUGUAAAGCUCUUUUUUCAGGGAAGAAUACCUGACGUGUACUAC